UACGGGGGGGGUAAGCGUUGCUCGGAAUUACUGGGCGUAAAGGGCUCGUAGGCGGCCAACUAAGUCAUACGUGAAAUCCCUCAGCUUAACUGGGGAACUGCGUGUGAUACUGGAUGGCUUGGAUUUGGGAGAGGGAUGCGGAAUUCCAAGUGUAGCGGUGAAAUGCGUAGAUAUCUGGAGGAACACCGGUGGCGAAGGCGGCAUCCUGGACCAAUAUUGACGCUGAGGAGCGAAAGCCAGGGGAGCAAAGCGGG
rnacentral:rRNA from 1 species